rnacentral:rRNA from 1 species
CGGAGCAAGACCGCGUGAGGGAGGAAGUGCUCUUGGGUUGUAAACCUCUUUUCUCAGGGAAGAAGCUCUGACGGUACCUGAGGAAUCAGCCUCGGCUAGCUCCGUGCCAGCAGCCGCGGUAAUACGGAGGAGGCAAGCGUUAUCCGGAAUUAUUGGGCGUAAAGCGUCCGCAGGUGGCGAUUCAAGUCUGCUGUCAAAGCACGGGGCUUAACUCCGUUAAGGCAGUGGAAACUGAAUAGCUAGAGUGCCGUAGGGGUAGAGGGAAUUCCCGGUGUAGCGGUGAAAUGCGUAGAGAUCGGGAAGAACAUCGGUGGCGAAAGCGCUCUACUGGACGGCAACUGACACUCAGGGACGAAAGCUAGGGGAGCGAAUGGGAUUAGAUACCCCAGUAGUCCUAGCUGUAAACGAUGGAUACUAGGUGUAGCUUGUAUCGACCCGAGCUGUGCCGAAGCUAACGCGUUAAGUAUCCCGCCUGGGGAGUACGCACGCAAGUGUGAAACUCAAAGGAAUUGACGGGGGCCCGCACAAGCGGUGGAGUAUGUGGUUUAAUUCGAUGCAACGCGAAGAACCUUACCAGGGCUUGACAUGUCCGGAAUCCCGGUGAAAGCUGGGAGUGCCUUCGGGAGCCGGAACACAGGUGGUGCAUGGCAGUCGUCAGCUCGUGUCGUGAGAUGUUGGGUUAAGUCCCGCAACGAGCGCAACCCUCGUCUUUAGUUGCCAGCAUUAAGUUGGGCACUCUAGAGAGACUGCCGGUGACAAACCGGAGGAAGGUGGGGAUGACGUCAAGUCAGCAUGCCCCUUACGCUCUGGGCGACACACGUACUACAAUGGUCGGGACAGAGGGCAGCGAACCUGCGAAGGCAAGCUAAUCCCAGCAAACUCGGCCUCAGUUCAGAUCGCAGGCUGCAACUCGCCUGCGUGAAGGAGGAAUCGCUAGUAAUCGCCGGUCAGAAUACGGCGGUGAUCCGUUCCCGGGCCUUGUACACACCGCCCGUCACACCAUGGAAGCUGCCACGCCCGAAGUCGUUACCCUA